rnacentral:rRNA from 1 species
UUUUGAUUUUAAUUUAAGGUCUAAUCUGCUCAAUGAUGUUUUAAAUUGCCGCGGUAUUUUGACUGUGCUAAGGUAGCGUAAUCAUUAGUUUUUUUAUUGAAAGCUGGAAUGAAUGAUUGGACAAGAAAAUUGCUGUCUCUAUUAAAUUUUUUAUUGAAUUUAACUUUUAAGUAAAAAGGCUUAAAUAUUAAUUAAAGACGAGAAGACCCUAUAGAGUUUAAUAGUUAAUUAGUUUAUAUGUUUGUAUUUAACUUCUUAAUUAUUUGGUUGGGGUGACUAGAAGAUAAAAUAAACUCUUUUAAGUUUAAUCAUUGAUUUAUGAAUAAUUAAUCUAAAAUUUUAAUUUUAAUAUAAAUUACCUUAGGGAUAACAGCGUAAUUUUUUAUAAAGUUCUUAUUGAAGAAAAAGAUUGCGACCUCGAUGUUGGAUUAAAAUUAUUUUGGGUGUAGAAGCUUGAAUGUUGGGUCUGUUCGACCUUUAAAAUUUUACAUGAUCUGAGU